GGUGCCAAUUUAGUGGGGGUAUCAGAAUGGUGGCCCCCUAGGGGGUCUGUGCUAAGUCAACAACAGCAACUGGGGGAAGGACAGUACACUGCUGCCAUACCAGCAAAAGCCAGAAUGGCUAGACCAUGCUGUGGCUGCUGCAGUCAUGGAUUUUUUUUGAGUCCCUGAGGCAGGUUAGUCUCUUCACCCCCUUUGGCAUUCAGUGAUCGCCUAGUUCCCUUAUCCCCACUUCCAACACAAUUUUUCCCAGGCACAAACCCUCUUAGUUAGAGCUCUGCUUAGGUGCACAUGGAGCAAGAACAAGUGGGUAGGACAUGUCUCUUAGUGGCAAUCCUAGGCUAAACAAUGAGGCAACCCCUUAGACUCUUCUAGGAUCAGAGAGAUAGACUACAGAUUCUUUGAGCCAUUCUUUGUCUUUUUAUGCCAUGCCUAGCACAGUGGCAACCUACUCUGUCAUCAGGGUAUCUAAGCUCUACCACAAUUAAACUAAUUACUUCUUUUUAAUUUCUACUUGUUUCUGAAUUGUUAUAUCCAGGUCUAGAUCCAGAGAAGAGCCUCUUGGUGUCCAGUGCUACCCUCUCAAAGUACAAUCGGCAACAGGAAUAAUGGGACUUGCUGAGCUCAGUGGCCCAAUAAAGUUCUGUCAUGGGAACAUAUGACUCCAGGGACUCUGCAUCAUGGUUCUCCACCAGGUGUUUCUCUUCAAUGAUCCCAGCUCAGCCUCCCUGUCCAACCUGCACCUACUGAGUCCCAGGAUCCAGCCUGAGAAUUAACCGACACAGGUAAACUCUCUGCAGAUGGAACAGA